CCUACGGGAGACAGCAGUGAGGAAUAUUGGUCAAUGGGCGGGAGCCUGAACCAGCCAAGUCGCGUGAGGGAAGACGGUCCUAUGGAUUGUAAACCUCUUUAGGCGGGGAGCAAUGCCGGGCACGCGUGCCCGGAGGGAGAGUACCCGCAGAAUAAGCAUCGGCUAACUCCGUGCCAGCAGCCGCGGUAAUACGGAGGAUGCGAGCGUUAUCCGGAUUUAUUGGGUGUAAAGGGAGCGUAGGCGGCUCUGUAAGUCUGAUGUGAAAAUUUGGGGCUCAACCCCAAACGUGCAUUGGAAACUGCAGGGCUUGAGUGCCGGAGAGGCAGGCGGAAUUCCUAGUGUAGCGGUGAAAUGCGUAGAUAUUAGGAGGAACACCAGUGGCGAAGGCGGCCUGCUGGACGGUAACUGACGCUGAGGCUCGAAAGCGUGGGGAGCAAACAGGAUUAGAUACCCGAGUAGUC
rnacentral:rRNA from 1 species